GGAGGAAUGGCUGAAUUGGUAGAGUAUCUGCCUUGCAAGUAGGAGACCUUGAGUUCAAAUACUAGUUGUGCCA
rnacentral:tRNA from 1 species